CUGACUGAUUUCACCCAAAUGUCUGCCCCUUAGGUUUCUAUUGUCCUGAAAGCACAGGUUAUGACUGGAGGCCUUGUCCGGUGGGGACAUACAGUCCUGACUCUGGUUUGAGCAGCCUCUCUGAAUGUAGGGAAUGUGAUGGAGGACACUACUGCUCUCUUCAGAACUCCACGUCUGUCACAGGAAAAUGCUCUGAGGGAUAUUACUGUGCACAUGGAAACAUCUCACCUCAACCUCACAAGCAGUCUUCGGGAGGGGGACCUUGUCCUGCAGGUCACUUUUGCCCGCAAAGCACUGCUCAGCCUCAGCCUUGUCCAGAGGGCACUUUCAGUAACAAAUCCCAACUGGUGAAAAUGGAAGAGUGUUUGUUAUGUCCUGCUGGCCAUUAUUGUGACAUAUCUGGGCUGACUUCACCCAGUGGAGAAUGCUGGGAAGGUUUUUACUGCAAACAGGGAGCCGUACUCCCCAACAGCCCAAUCAACGAUCACAGAGGAGGACCGUGUCCGACAGGUAAUUGACAGAUCCCCCAAUUCAAGGCAGAUUAAAAACACCCACCUUCCCCUCAAACCGGCCCACCUCAUCCUGUUUUCUGCUCCCGCGUAGGUUAUUUUUGCUCUAGAGGCUCAGGCGCUCCUCAAACCUGUCCAGAAGGAUACAUCAGCAGUAGAGAGAGACAGGCCAGCUGCAGCCUGUGUCCUCAGGGGUAGACACACUUAUACAUAAAAAAAAAAAGUUUAACAUUUAAAGGUGAAGUGUAUAAUUUUUUUUUCAAUGUUAAAAUACUUUCUGCUCUCCCAGGUGGUGCAGAGACAGCUAGAAGUACGACAUUUAUACGUUAAUUCUCCCAAAACUCUAGUGUUUUCAAAACAUCACAACAAACCUGACACAGUAACAUUGACUCUAUAACUUACAAACUUUAGAGACAGACCUGCUGUGAGCUACGAGGUUGUUAAUCGGUGGUACUGUAUAUGCUUUUUUUGAACCCAUCAGCCCGCAUUAUUUCAACAUAUUUAAAUAAAUAGUUGUUUAACAGCA
ensembl:lncRNA